rnacentral:lncRNA from 10 species
GGAAAAGGGUGAAUCCAAUGCAGGCUGAUUUCUGGCUUACAUCACAGUCCAGUCUGAUUUUCUGCAGAUUACUUUCUACAAGACGAUUUGGGACCUCAGUUUACCACCUCCCAGCGGACCGACGGGUGCGGUGAGUGGAGAUGAUUUUGUGAGAGUUUUUAGGACAAUCCUGGAAGUGGGUUUGUCACUUCUGGCUGCACUCCAUUGGCCUGAAAGGAAUCACACGGCCCCACCCCAAUGCGGGAGGCUGGGAGUGUUCAGCGCCUGCAGAGAAGGUCAGGUGGGCUGGAAGCCCUGCGCCAGGCAUGGCCACGCCCUGGUGAAGGUGCUCGACAAAUGUGAACAUCUCCACCUAAGCCCCCCUUGGCACCACCACUGAGUCAGUCUGUGUUUUGGAUGUUUAAUUUUGGGGUUCAAUUUGCUGAUGGUGAAUUUGACAAUGAUGUUAUUGAUUAAUUCAUUUAAAGGGAGGAGAAUCACAAAUAUUGUGGCUAGUACAGAACAACCUCUUCCACCAAGCCAGUUGUGACUGUUGCGGAUGGAGAUGGACACCUAGUGAAUGAUUUAAUCCACCAACAAUUGUGGCACACAGGCAUCGUCUUCCCCACGCCAGGACUCAGAGGCUGAGCCCAGGGUGCUGAGAGGCUGAGCCCACAGCUCCGGGGUGAGGAAUGGAGCUCCCCGAGCGCGGCUUAUCUUUCAAGGGAGCUCACACUCUUUUACAACAACCCUCGAGUUUGCAAUAGUUUCAAAGUAACCCCUUCCACAGACACAAAUUGUUCAUUAGUUAUAAAUAGAACAACAGUAACUUUACAGUGGAAAAAGCUGGCGGACAUCAUUUUAGCCACAUAAUCAAAGUUAACGUCAACAGUAAGGAGAAAAUCAACACCACGUGUCUUCUGACAACAACGCGCUGAUGGGAGCCCAACAUCAUUUACACCAUAAAUCAAAUGUUUAUCCGUUGGCGAUUCCAGCCAAAAAUAGAUAACCUGAUCCAAUCAUGAGGGAACUUCAGACAAACCCAAACUGAAGGACAUUCUACAGAAUAACUGGUCUGUACUCAUAACAAAGAAUCAAUGUCAUGAGGGACCAUGAAAGGCUGAGGAUGUCCCACAGGUUGAAAGUGACGAAAACAAACAAAAAACAACCAGCAACCAACUACGAUGCACAACCUUGGAUUGGAGCCUUCUCAAAAUUGCUGAAAAUAACAGUGGAACAAGUGGUGAAAUUUGAAUAUGGGCUAUAUGUUAGGUAUUCAUUUUAUGUCAAUGUUAAAUUUUCCGACAUUGAUAUUUGUACCAGGAAAUGUAAAAGAAGGCCCAAAUUUAGCGAUAAAUUAUGCCUGCCACUCACUCUCUCCAAUGAUUCAGAAGAUAGUACGGAUGAUGAACAGAUGACAGAGACAUGGUAGGUAGAUCAAUAGAUGGAUGGAUAGAUAGAAAAUAUGAAAUAAGAAACUCCUGGACACGAACCGUACAGACCAAGUUCAUCACUCCUGUGAGGGAGAACCUUGAAUUCCCAUAAGAAAAACUGAAUGUGCAGGAAGCGUAUCUCAUUCAGUUCACAAACCAUGAUGGGUUCUGUGUUCACCCUGGCUAACUAUCUACUUCUACCUCUCCUCUCCUCCUCUCCUCUCCUCUCCUCUCCUCUCCUCUCCUCUCCUCUCC